GGUAAACGGGUGGAUCCGCAAAGUCGGCUCGCGGAAUUCAGCGCGGCGCGCGGCCUGGGGCUGCUGCGGCUCGGGAUCCCUGUGGACCCGUCCGUGGCGUCGCGCCGGGCCCCGCCGCGUGCACUUUCCGCGGGCAGAGCGCCACAACCGGUUCUCGGGCGGCCAGAAGCCGAGCGGGAAGGUAGGCGAGGGCGGCAACGUCCACGCUGUUAUAGCCCGUUUAGGUCGACUGCCUGGGGACCGAGGACGUACCGCGCGCCUGGAGGCUACCUGGCCUUCCGGCGGAGUUCGACUGAGAGGGACUGGGCAACCGUGCCUCUCGACCGCUCCGUCGUGACCGGACGGGCUAGCCGGGCGCGGUGUGUGGGUUG
rnacentral:rRNA from 1 species